rnacentral:lncRNA from 1 species
GUAGUGACAUAAUUACACGAUAAGACAAGCCGCCUGGUCUCGCUGUCACUUGGCAGGGCGACCGGAUUACAAUCCCAGCCAGCAUGAACAUGGGGCGGCGCGCAGUCCUGAAGGGGGAAGCCGGGCUGUGCCGGCCUGGCUCUGCCGGCCUGGCUCUGCAUGCUGGGAGCUGUAGUCUCUUCACCGCUCCCGCCCGUUGUUUCAAGCGCUUCGGGACUGCAAUCCCAGCAUGCCCCGGUCUCAGGGGCGGGGCGCAGUUCUUGCGGGAGGAGCGGGGCGGUGCGCUCCUGGCCACGCAGGCUGGAAACUGUAGCUCUUAACGGUUCCCCGCCCGUUGGUGGCAAGGCGGCUGGACUAGAAUCCUAGCAGGCGAUAUGCGAGAAGGCGGGCAGCCCAAGAGGGUUGGGCAGGGCAGUGUGGAUCUCGCCGCUUCCACAGCGAUGCUGGCUACUGAUUUCGGACACCUCCUUGCCAUGGGAUGGAAAUUAAUGUUAUGACUGGAUAAGACAAUUGUGAAGAAACUGCACUUCGAGGUUGUCUGUCUCCGUAUUCCGAUGGAAAAGGCUGGACUUUAGAAGCAUUGCUCGCUCCUUCAGUUUCUAACAAGAGUUUUACAGUUUCUGAUUAAAUACCAAUGGGAUAUCACCUCCCAUCUCUUAGGAUGGCUGUUAUAAAAAGGACAAGAGAUAACAAGUGUUGGUGAUGGUGUGGAGAGAAGGGAACCUUUGUACACUGCUGGUUAAAAUGAAAUGAAAUCAGCAUCUGAUAGAGAUAUCUUCACUCCCCUCUUCUCCGUGCCCCACCACAGCAUUGCUCCCAACAGCCAAGCCAUGGGAUGAAGUUACUGUGCAUUGAUGGAUGAGUGGAGAAAAGAAAAUGUGGGGGAGGUGUUUGUGCAUGUAUGUGUGUGUGUGUAUAAUAUAUAAUAAUAUAAUAUUUUUCAGCUUUUAAGAAGUUGAAGAUACUGCCAUUUGUGAUAACAUAAAUGAAUCUGGAGGAUAUUAAGCUAAGUAAAAUAACUUAGGGAGAGAGAAAAAUACUGCAUAAUUUCUGUUACAUAUGAAAUCUUUAAAAAGGUUUAAUACAUAGAGACAUGAUAGAGUGAUGAUUUGGGGGAUAAGAGACACAAGUCAACGUUUCAGUUAUAUAAAAUAAAUGAAUCUAGAGGACUAAAGUACAAUUUAAAGGUUAUAGUUACUAUUUUUAUAUUAUAUACUAGUGAUUUUUGAACAGGGUAAACUUUAGGUGCUUUGACACCAAAAGGAAACUACAUGAGUUCAUGUAUAUGUUAAAUUGUUUGACCGCAGUCAUCAUUGAUAUGUAUAUGUAUAUAUAUAUAAUUAUGGGCUCAUUAAAUUUAAAUGCUAUAAAUAGGUAACAAAGAAUAAAGUUAAUUGAAAAACUGCAUCAUUAGACUUGAUUUUGCCUACAUGAAAAACUGAAACUGCCUCCUAAAUAUUAAUAUUUGUACAUCGCAUAAAGUUUAUAUGUUGGAAAUAUGUUUAAAGAAAAGGAAUUAUAAAUUUUAAUAAACACAGAAUGACACAGUAAAUGCAAAACAGUAGAAAGAGAUGAAAAUCUGAUUAAUCAGAGUGGUUAAUGCUUAGAUAUAAUUAAUGAUGUGUUAGGAGCAAUUUCAAGCCACUUCCACAUAGAUUUAAUACCAAAGAGUUUAUGUGUACACAGAGAUUAAAUAAAAAAAUACAUUUACAAUGAUAUUAAUUGAUAUUAAAAUGAUUAUGAAAUCAACUGUCUGCUAUAGAAAAAAUAGAGCAUUAAGUAACUAGCAGUAAGUUUGAAACUUUGUUAGAAAGUUAAUCAAGUGAAAAAGUGAUCAGCAUUUUUGAGCACUAAAUAGAGGAUGGACAAAAUUUUCUUUUCUUUCUUUCUUUUUUUUUUUUUUUUGAGAUCGAGUCUGUCUCUGUCGCCCAGGCUGGAGUACAGCGGCGCAAUCUUGAUCUCGGCUCACUGCAAGCUCUGCCUCCCGGGUUCACGCCAUUCUCCUGCAUUAGCCUCCUGAGUACCUGGGACUGCAGGCGCCCACAGCCAUCCCUGGCUAAUUUUUUGUAUUUUUAGUGGAGACGGGGUUUCACCGUGUUAGUCAAGAUGGUCACGAUCUCCUGAGCUCAUGAUCCACCUGCCUCAGCCUCUUAAAGUGCUGGGAUUACAGGCGUGAGCCACCGCACCUGGCCUAUAAUUUUCCAAUACCAAGAAAAUCAUUUGAUAUUGCAAGAUUUUAAACCUAAAUUAGUGUCUUUAACUUCACAAAGGUAGAAAUCCUAUAAGUAAUGUUUCUUGAACACUUUAAAAUGACAAUAAAAACUAAAGUGUAACCAACAAGUAACAUGUAGCCACAUGCAAAUUUCCUUUUAGAUUGUUUUAUUAUUUUUUUAACUUUAUGUGAAUUUUUAUUUUACUAGGUUUUUGGGGAACAGGUGGUGUUUGGUUAGAGGGAUAAGUUUUUAGUGGUGAUCUCUGAGAUGUUGGUGCAGUGUACACUGUACCCAAUGGGUAGCCUUUGAUCCCUAAGAUUGUUUUAAAUGACAUCUAGAUUAAAUAGAACAUUCAAACUGACAUUACUUUUACAGCACCAGAGAAAUGCUAAGGAGGAAGCUUUGUGACUGAAACCAAAAGACCUGAAUUUAUAUAUUUAAUUUUACUAAUUAACAUUCUUAAUUUUAUAGAAAAACAGCAAUUCUGCCCACAUGCAGGAGUUAUGCAUUAAAGUGGAGCAUGAUCACUUCAGACAUUUGUCCAAAACAUAAAAAUUCUUCCAAGUAUUAAGAAAAUAUUUAUACUUCACAGAUAUUGUUAGUGUAUAAUACAUGGGCAUUGAGAUGUUUCAAAUGAGAAAAAUUGAAAUUUCUCAUGGGGCAUUGUUCUACACAAAAUAUUUAUGUAAAAUUUUUUACUCAUAUAUGCAUGUGGACAUUUGAUGUUUUAGCACAGAAUAACAUAUUCUCAAAGGUCAUUUAAUGUAGUAAAUUAAAAAUCUUUAAAGUUUACAAGAAUUUUAAAACUGCCCAGCAGAACUGAUAGAAAAAUAUGGGAGCUUCCCAGGACCAGAAGUGAAUCAAGAGGCAAAUUCACAGGAGUCAUGAAAGUGAGAAGUUAGAGCUGCCUUCAGGUACAGCUCUGAUUGCAGGGCUGAUUACACAGACCUCAAGCCUGUGAAAAUCGUCCACUCUGCCCCUUGGAAUAUACAUACAGAGAAAAUUACUAACUGGGGCAUCCCAAAUGUGAGAUCUCUAUAAUGUAAGAACCAAAUUGCAAUUAUGAAGCACACAAAAGAAGCUACCCAAAAAAGGGAAAGAAAUUAUACAUCACGUAAACUUCACAGAUUGGAAACGUAUUUAAAAUAAGUAACACAAAUAGGGAAAGAGAAUAUCAAAAUAAUUUUGAAAACACAUGAAGUUCUAAAGCGGGCACUGGGGGCAGUGGCUCAUGCCUGUACUCCCAAGCACUUUGCGGUGGCCAAAGCAGGAGGAUCACUUGAGGCCAGGAGUUUGAGAUCAGCCUGGGCAACAAAGCAAAAGUUGUCUCUACAACAAAUAGAUAUAAAAAAAUAAGCCAGGCACAGUGGUGUGUGCUUGUACUGUCAGCUACUGGGGAGGUGGAGGUGAGAGGGUCUUUUGAGACUGGGAAUUUGAGGUUGCAGUGAGCUAUGACCACCACUGAACUCAAGCCUGGGUGACAGAGAUUCUUUCUCAAACACACACACACACACACACACACACACACACACACACACACACACACACUAAACAGGCAUGUUUUGCAAAGACUCAAACAGAAAUUGAACAACUGAAACUUAAAUAAAUUUAAUAUACAGUGUAUGGUUUAAUUAUUAAACCAAGUUAAUAACAACAGGAUUAGUGAACUAGAAUACUGAGAUGAGUAAAUAAAAGAACUACAGAAAAAUGAAAUGAUCACAAUACAAAAAUGAGUAUACAUGUACAAAGAAUAAAAUGAAAUGAAAUCAAAUACAUUGGUUUCACUAGCUUACAUAUAAAUAACAAAUCACAUUAAUAACAAAUAUUUAUAAAUUUCUGAAACUGAAUAUCAGAUGGGAACCCUUGAAUGCAGAAGUGUAUUGUGAUUAAUAGUGGCCUACCAAUAAAAAAUACUCAACAGAAAUAAAAGUCAAACUGCAUAACAGCAAAGAAAAGAAAAAAUUUUAAAGCCAUAAGAGAGAAAAGAAGAGAGAACCAAUGAAGGUGAGAGCAAAGUCUUCACAGCCCGUGUUCAGUCAGAAAACAGAGAAAUAAGUAAGAGUGCUGAGAUAAGUCACUGUUCAACCAAUAAUUAGAUACUUCACUAACAUAUUUUGAAUAAGUGAGGAUGCACUACAUGAUUUCCAAAAGUAAAAAAGUGGGAAAUCUUAUUACCAAUAUGAGCUUAUUAAGAAUACACUUCAAAAAGAAAAAAAAUUUAAAAUGGAGUUCAAGGAAUCAAAAUGAAAUGCAAGAAACUGCAAACAUAUUGGGCUAUCAAAUCAUGGUGGACAAUGAACAAAAGGAUCCAUCAAGUCUUUGGCAGCAUCAGUUUCCAAAUGAUUUACAUAAAAUAAAAGUGCUAAACUCUAUACAAUGUAAUGAAAUAAAUUAUCAAAUCCUCUGAUACUUGAAUAAUUUAACUGAUGUUAGAAUCUCCUUUUCAGAUAAUUAUUUUCAUGGAAAAAAAUAUACAAUACUUCUGUCUCAUCAUUUGCAGAAUAUCAAUUAUCCUUUUUUCAGAACUUAUUAGCACCAAAGGGCUCACAGUGGCAUAGGCCCUGGUCACAAGCCUCUGGACACCCAG